rnacentral:rRNA from 1 species
AGUGAACGCUGGCGGUAGGCCUAACACAUGCAAGUCGAACGGCAGCACAGUAAGAGCUUGCGCUUACGGGUGGCGAGUGGAGGACGGGUGAGGAAUACAUCGGAAUCUACUUUUUCGUGGGGGAUAACGUAGGGAAACUUACGCUAAUACCGCAUACGAACUACGGGUGAAAGCAGGGGAUCUUCGGACCUUGCGCGAUUGAAUGAGCCGAUGUCGGAUUAGCUAGUUGGCGGGGUAAAGGCCCACCAAGGCGACGAUCCGUAGCUGGUCUGAGAGGAUGAUCAGCCACACUGGAACUGAGACACGGUCCAGACUCCUACGGGAGGCAGCAGUGGGGAAUAUUGGACAAUGGGCGCAAGCCUGAUCCAGCCAUACCGCGUGGGUGAAGAAGGCCUUCGGGUUGUAAAGCCCUUUUGUUGGGAAAGAAAAGCAGCAGGUUAAUACCCCGCUGUUCUGACGGUACCCAAAGAAUAAGCACCGGCUAACUUCGUG